rnacentral:rRNA from 1 species
AACGAACGCUGGCGGCAUGCCUAACACAUGCAAGUCGAACGAGACCUUCGGGUCUAGUGGCGCACGGGUGCGUAACGCGUGGGAACCUGCCCUUAGGUUCGGAAUAACUCCCCGAAAGGGGUGCUAAUACCGGAUAAUGUCUUCGGACCAAAGAUUUAUCGCCUUUGGAUGGGCCCGCGUUGGAUUAGCUAGUUGGUAGGGUAAAAGCCUACCAAGGCGACGAUCCAUAGCUGGUCUGAGAGGAUGAUCAGCCACACUGGGACUGAGACACGGCCCAGACUCGUACGGGAGGGAGCAGUGGGGAAUAUUGGACAAUGGGCGAAAGCCUGAUCCAGCAAUGCCGCGUGAGUGAUGAAGGUCUUAGGGUUGUAAAGCUCUUUUACCCGGGAUGAUGAUGACAGUACCGGGAGAAUAAGCUCCGGCUAACUCCGUG